AAAACAGGUAAAGCCAUCAUUACAGCAGCUGCAGUAGGAGGUACUGUGGUUCUGACUCCUGCUGUUCUGACGGGAAUGGGCUUCACUGCAGCUGGAAUAGCAGGAGGCUCUAUAGCUGCUCAGCUGAUGUCAAUUUUUGGAUCUACCUGGUUGAUAUCUCUCUUGCAAUCUAUAGGUGCCACUGGAAUGGGAUGGUUUGGAAAUUCACUAUGGGGCGUGUUCGGAGGUUUUAUAGGAAAUCAGAUAUCAUUUAUCUGCAAUAUAACUGUUGUGUAUAAAGACACCGAACCAUAGCAUUGAUGUGAAAUUGAUGACCAUUGAUCUAUAGUCUCCAAAUUCUGUUCUGCCUUUUAAUAGAUGUUUUCAUAUCCUCCUUAGCUAGCCACUGCAAGUAGAUGAUGUAUUUAGACUAUAUGAAAGAUUUUUUUAAGCAUUGUUAAGCAUUUGUUAUUUUAUCUUUUAAACUUCAAUGAAAUAAAUUGUAUUGAUGAUCCUUCAAGGUUUUUAAUAAGACAACAGAGAUGUUUUACCAGGGUGUCCUAACAAUGAUGCAAAGUGGUCAAAUGUGAGAUGAAAUCUAAGGUUUGUCUUUUAGUCGCUCCAGUAAACAGAAGAGUUUUUUCUUGCUUUGGAUCAUUUUAAAGUAAACUGUAUUUGUUCUGAGCAUCUUAAAGGAAUAAAUAUUAGAUCUGGGUGAUUAAAGUUAUU